CCCUUCUUCUUCCGCUCUUUCGCGCUCGAUUGCUCGAUCCCAUGGCAGCGGCGGCGAUCGAUAUCUUCAUCCCCAUCCCUUCUUCUUCCGCUCUUUCGCGCUCGGUUGCUCGAUCCCAUGGCAGCGGCGGCGAUCGAUAUCUUCAUCCCCAUCCUCCGCUUCCUCCUCUGCUUCGUGGUCACGAUUCCCGCUAUCCUCUCGUGGCGGGUGGUCCCCGUGGCGGUCCCGCGUCACCUCUACGCUACCUUCUCGGAGGCGGACCUCUCCUUCGGCGCCUCCUUCAACCUCCACUUUAUCAUCCCCGUGGGCACGGCCUACGCCGCCGUGCUCCUCAUCCACCGUUACGCCGGCGUCAUCACCUUCUUCACUGGCUUCGAUUAUCUCAUCGGAUGAUUCGUGCUCCUUCCAUUAAUAGCCCAUUGCCAUCACCUCUUCGUUCAAGCUGCAAUCGGUACCACAUUUCCCACUUUCUUGGUUCGAUGAGCUGAUAUACUAGGAAUGGGGUUUCUGGCAAAGGCUGCUGUUUUAUGGAUACAUGUCUGGAUUUACUGCCCGUAUGAAGUACUAAUUUAUCUGGUCAAUCUCAGAAGCUUCUAUUAUCAUAUCUGGUUUGGGUUUUAGUGACUGGUCAGAUUCCUCUCCUCUAAACCCACUAUGGGACUGUGCAAAAAAUGUUGAUAUUGUUUGUAGAGUUUGCUUCUAGUGCAGUUCAACUGCCUCUUGUAUGGAACAUACAAGGCGGCACUUGGCUACAACACUGUAAGGAUUUUUUUUAACUUUCCUUUUAGAUGGAUUUGUUUUUGUAUCAUGUGGUUACUAGUUAGAUUCAGGUCCAGAAAGCUAGACAUUUGCCUCUAUACAGGCACAUGUCUAUGUUGGUCUGGUUCUGGUCUUUUUUUUUUUCUUUUUAGGGUGGUUGCUUUUAUAAAUCAUGCUGUAUUUGGCUGCCCUGGCUUGAGAGCCUUUUUGAGUGUAGGUUGAUAUGAAAUGUGCAUAUGGACCCAUUUAGCCUUCUCUUAAUGCAUGCAUGUAUUUGUUUAUGUAAAUGCUUUGCCGAUGUGAAUGUCUAAAUGCAAUGUAGUAGAGAUAGGAGAGUUUGGCAUUUGCCAUUACAACCACUUCUCAUCUUUUGAAGUACUGAAGCAGGUGAAUUCUUAAGCACAUGUGCAACAACUUGAAUGCAACUAUCAACUCAAUUACAUUGAAAAAAUUCAAUGUAAUAGAAACUCAAUUAUUUGGCUGAAUUUUUACUUGAAUUUUCUUUAAUUAGGUGGUCAUGUUGAGCACUAGUUUAGUUGUAAUCUAAUAUAUGGAUGCCAAUUUUUUACUAUUACAUAAUGCUUGAAAUGAUAAAUUUUAACUGAUAUUACUGAUACUUAUUUUGCCACACUCUUCUUCUAGUUUCACAAGUUUGUACUGAUUAAUCUGCCGGGAAAGUAAGAUGGUUUGUGAGGCAGACCAUGUAAUCCGAGAGGCCAUGUCGUUCCAGAUGUAGACGAAAAACUCGUUGAGAAAGGGAAGAAACCUGGAUUCUUUCAGUUGCCAGCUAUGCAGACCGACAGCGCUGUUUGGCAUGUAAGUUAUAAAUGAGCGUUUGUUGGUACUAGUAUGAAUGUUGUAAUGAGGUGUUUCAUCUGGCAAUUAUACUAGGUUUUGGAAUGCAAGUUUUAUCCUUGAUUUCUAGGUAAGGUUGCAAGCAAGUAUUAUCCUAAUAAGGAUUUUUAGUGUUUCUCCAUGGUUUACAAGGUGCAUUUUUGGGGCCAACUUCUAAUAAUUUUAAGAUAUUUGUCUAUGAUAUCUUGAACUUUACUUGUAUAUUGUAACAUAACCUAUAAAUCCAUCAAAGCCCAGGUAGGCAGUUAUUGUGGUAUCUUUCUGCAUAUAGAUCCAUGAGUUUUUGUUUUUAGUUCAAUAAAGAGCUGCUUUUUUAUGUCAGUAUAAAAAGUACAUAGGACUGCAGAUGAUCUAAGUAAGCUUUUCGUUUUCUUUUUCUGGGAGAAACUUAAAAAUUAACUUUAUCAAUCUAAUCUGGAGGACUACUGUGGCAGAAAAGGUUUAUGGCUUAUGCACAUAAUUCCUCUCAGUACUAAUAAUUUCUCUUUAUGCCUGCACCCUGGCUAUAUUAUAUUCUUUGCUCAAUCAGCAUUGAUGAUUGCAGGUUCACGAGAUAAUUCUCCAUCAAAAGAGCCAACUGCUUGCUAUUUUCUUUUCCUCGUUUCUGUUGAACAGUAAUAUAUAGAUGGCACCAAGCUGUCAACCCGAAGAGUAGGUUUUAUGGAUAGUUAUUGAAUGGCUUCUCAAUUUCUGUGCAUAGGAAUAGUGUUUAUGUUCUCCAAGCUGUCACCUCAACCAAGGAUUUUUAAAGUAAUCUAUUAUGAUUUAUUGAUUCA